rnacentral:lncRNA from 1 species
CAGUCUGAGAGUAUAUGACACUCUCAGAAAUGUCCUUGCUUAGAGAGUUGAGUAGCCAAGCAAUCACCAUGUCAUUACACCUCUUCCAUUGUCCGAAUAGAGGUGAGCUUUCACUAGGAAUCUCAACUUUUCCAUUUAUGAAAUCAAGUUUGUUCUUAGCUGAAAGAGAAAUCAAAACUCCCCUUUUCCAAUUCCCAUAACUAGAUCCAUCAAAAGUCACAUUAAUGAGGUUCAUUCCAGGUGAAUCUGAAGAUGAGAGAUAAUAGGGAUGGGUCAAGUCUACUACCUCGCUGGUAGUUCUGGAUUCAGAAGCAGAGAGAGUUGAUGGAGGAUCUACUCCCAUAUCUGAAUCUAAAGAAGAAGAAGAAUUUCCAGAGGAGAUCAAACGGAAAGGAA